rnacentral:rRNA from 1 species
AUGAACGCUGGCGGCGUGCCUUAGGCAUGCAAGUCGAGCGGUCCGACGCAAGUCGGACAGCGGCAGACGGGUGAGUAACACGUAGGGAUCUGCCCCGAAGUGAGGGAUAACCCCGCGAAAGCGGGGCUAAUACCGCAUAUGUCCGUAAGGGUAAAGGGCGUAACUGCCCGCUUUGGGAUGAACCUGCGUCCUAUCAGCUAGUUGGUAAGGUAACGGCUUACCAAGGCUAUGACGGGUAGGGGGUGUGAGAGCACGGCCCCCCACAAGGGUACUGAGACACGGACCCUACACCUACGGGUGGCAGCAACCAGGAAUAUUGCGCAAUGGGCGAAAGCCUGACGCAGCGACGCCGCGUGGAGGAUGAAGGUUUUCGGAUCGUAAACUCCUUUUUACAGGGAUAAAUAAAAUGAUAGUACCUGUAGAAUAAGCACCUGCAAACUACGU